rnacentral:rRNA from 1 species
ACGAUGAAACUUAGAUGAUUUCUUCGGAAUGAACUUAAGUGGAUUAGUGGCGAACGGGUGAGUAACACGUGAGUAACCUGCCUUACACAAGGGGAUAGCCUCUGGAAACGGAGAAUAAUACCCUAUAAAGUCUAAUCAGCACAUGCUGGAAAGACCAAAGAUUUAUCGGUGUAAGAUGGACUUGCGUCUGAUUAGCUAGUUGGUGAGAUAAAAGCUCACCAAGGCGACGAUCAGUAGCCGGCUUGAGAGAGUGUACGGCCACAUUGGGACUGAGACACGGCCCAAACUCCUACGGGAGGCAGCAGUGGGGAAUUUUGCACAAUGGGGGGAACCCUGAUGCAGCGACGCCGCGUGAUUUAGAAGGCCUUCGGGUUGUAAAAAUCUUUUUUACGGGAUGAAAAUGACAGUACCGUAAGAAUAAGGUCCGGCUAAAUACGUGCCAGCAGCCGCGGUAAUACGUAUGGACCGAGCGUUGUCCGGAAUCAUUGGGCGUAAAGGGUACGUAGGCGGCCUAGUAAGUUAGAAGUGAAAGAAUAUAGCUCAACUAUAUAAAGCUUUUAAAACUGUUAGGCUUGAGAGAUGAAAGGGAAAGUGGAAUUCCUAGUGUAGCGGUGAAAUGCGCAGAUAUUAGGAAGAAUACCGGUGGCGAAGGCGACUUUCUGGUCAUCAUCUGACGCUGAGGUACGAAAGCGUGGGUAGCAAACAGGAUUAGAUACCCUGGUAGUCCACGCUGUAAACGAUGAGUGUUAGGUUCUUGGAAUAAUCUGGGAGCCGCAGCUAACGCAUUAAACACUCCGCCUGGGGAGUACGCACGCA